GGCCAUUGUGGUGUAGUGGUUUGAAUGUUGGACUAGGGCACUGAGGGACCAGGUUUGAAUCCUGGCUUGGCCA